UGCGCCUGGUGGCUAGUGACUGACGGGUGAGUAAUACAUCGGAACAUGUCCAGUAUUGGGGGAUAGCCCGGCUAAGGCCGGAUUAAUACCGCACACAAUCCACGGAUGAAAGCGGGGGAGCUUCGGGCCUCGCGCUAUAGGGUUGGCCGAUGGAUGAUUAACUAGUUGGUGGGGUAAAGGCCUACCAAGGCGACCAUCAAUACCUGGUCUGACAGGACGACCAACCACACUGGGACUGACACACGGCCCAUACUCCUACCGGAGGCAGCAAUGGGGAAUUUUGGACCAAGGGGGGAAACCCCUUUAUCCCAGCAAUGGCGGGAUGAGGCAAGAAGGCCUUUAGGGUCCUAAAGCCUUUUUGUCAAGAAAGAAAUUCUUUGUCUUUAAUACGGUCGGGGGACCCCGGUACCGGAAGAAUGAGCACCUGGUAACUACGUGCCCGCAGCCGCGGUAAUACGUAGGGUGCAUGCGUUAAUCGGAAUUACUGGGCGUAAAGCGUGCGCAGGCGGUUUGCUAAGACCGAUGUGAAAUCCCAGGGCUCAACCUCGGAAGUGCAUUGGUGACUGGCAGGCUAGAGUAUGGCAGAGGGGUGUAGAAUUCCACGUGUAGCAGUGAAAUGUGUAGAGAUGUGGAGGAAUACCGAUGGCGAAGGCAGCCCCAUGGGCCAAUACUGACGCUCAUGCACGAGAGCCUGGCGAGCAAACAGGAUUAGAUACCCUGGUCGUCCACGCCUUAAACGAUGUCAACUAGUUGUAGGGGACUCACUUCAUUAGUAAUGUAGCUAACGCGUGAAGUCGACCGCAUGGGGAGUACGGUCGCAAGAUUAAAACUCAAAGGAAUUGACGGGGACCCGCACUAGCGGUGGAUGAUGUGGAUUAUUUCGCUGCAACGCGAAAAACCUUACCUACCCUUGACAUGGUCGGAAUCCUGCUGAGAGGUGCGAGUGCUCGAUAGAGAACCGGCGCACCGGUGCUGCAUGGCGGUCGUCAGCUCGUGUCUUGAGAUGUUGGGUUAAGUCCCGCAACGAGCGCACCCCUUGUCCUUAGAUGUUACGCAAGAGCAUUUUAAGGAGACGGCCGGUGACAAACCGGAGGAAGGUGGGGAGGACGUCAAGUCUUCAUGGCCUUUAUGGGUAGGGCUUCACACGUCAUACAAUGGUCGGAACAGAGGGUUGCCAACCCGCGAGGGGGAGCUAAUCCCAGAAAACCGAUUGUAGUCCGGAUUGCACUCUGCAACUCGAGUGCAUGAAGCUGGAAUCGCUAGUAAU
rnacentral:rRNA from 1 species